rnacentral:rRNA from 1 species
UACGAAGGGGGCUAGCGUUGUUCGGAAUUACUGGGCGUAAAGCGCACGUAGGCGGGUUUGUAAGUAGGGGGUGAAAUCCCAGAGCUCAACUCUGGAACUGCCUUCUAAACUGCAAGCCUGGAGGUCAGGAGAGGCGAGUGGAAUACCGAGUGUAGAGGUGAAAUUCGUAGAUAUUCGGUGGAACACCAGUGGCGAAGGCGACUCGCUGGACUGAUACUGACGCUGAGGUGCGAAAGCGUGGGGAGCAAACGGG